rnacentral:rRNA from 1 species
ACUAACGGGUAUGCUUAGUACGGCGAGUGAGCGGCAAAAGCUCAAAUUUGAAAUCUGGUACCUUCGGUGCCCGAGUUGUAAUUUGGAGAGGGCAACUUUGGGGCCGUUCCUUGUCUAUGUUCCUUGGAACAGGACGUCAUAGAGGGUGAGAAUCCCGUGUGGCGAGGAGUGCGGUUCUUUGUAAAGUGCCUUCGAAGAGUCGAGUUGUUUGGGAAUGCAGCUCUAAGUGGGUGGUAAAUUCCAUCUAAAGCUAAAUAUUGGCGAGAGACCGAUAGCGAACAAGUACAGUGAUGGAAAGAUGAAAAGAACUUUGAAAAGAGAGUGAAAAAGUACGUGAAAUUGUUGAAAGGGAAGGGCAUUUGAUCAGACAUGGUGUUUUGUGCCCUCUGCUCCUUGUGGGUAGGGGAAUCUCGCAUUUCACUGGGCCAGCAUCAGUUUUGGUGGCAGGAUAAAUCCAUAGGAAUGUAGCUUGCCUCGGUAAGUAUUAUAGCCUGUGGGAAUACUGCCAGCUGGGACUGAGGACUGCGACGUAAGUCAAGGAUGCUGGCAUAAUGGUUAUAUGCCGCCCGUCUUGAACCACCGGACCA